GGGCUUCAUCUUCAGUGUGUGUAAGGCUCGCUCAGUAUGACUUCAGUGUGUGUGUGAGUGUGAUGGUGUCCUCUCAUCUAAACAACCUCUUAAACGGAUCCACCUCCUAACCCACUUCACAUUUGCAUCAGCUCCAGUUGCAGUCUCUGACAGAACAUCCUCAUAAAGGGCCUCAUUUGCCCAUGCGUGGGCUCUCUCCGCCAUUUUGAAAAUGGGCCAUGGCGUCAUAAAUCCCCCACACAUCAUGCAAUGGAAAGUUAUGAUCCCCGCGGUUUUCCCUCUUCAUUACGGCUCCAGACGACGGCAGGCAUGUACCAUGAGCUUGCC
ensembl:lncRNA